UGCUGAUUAAUAUCUAUACUGCAAGGUAGCUGAUAGAUAUGCAGAUAUAGAAAGUAUACUGCAGCAGAUCAGCAUUUAUUGGUCCGUUUACAUUCGGAUCUUUGGCUAUUGAAGUGCCGUCAAAGGUUUCAAUAUCAAUUUAAAUUGUGGGCAAACUCAGUAACGAACUUUGAUUUAAAAUAACGAAGUAGAUUAUUUUGCUUAAUUUGUAGGCUACUUACAUGUAAAAGUACAGCUUUAAAAAUAUACUCAAAAAGUACAAGUACAAGUACAAGUACAAGUAGAAACUACUUAAUUACAAUAACGUAAGUUGUAAUUCGUUACCUCCACCACUGCAUAAGUCAUAUUGAAAGUGAAAGUGAAAGCCUCUAUUUAAACGUGUGAGCAGCAGAGAGAGUCAGAGUGGAAUAAACUCAGAUGGUGAGGACACACAGACCGCAGAAUUACAACCAUGAAUGCUGUAAAUGCUGUUCAACUGUUCAUUCUGCUUUGGACCUUUACUGCUGUCUGUCAAGCUAAAAAUUUCAAUGUAAGCUGUGAUGAUGUGACUGGAUUCGUUGGGAAAAAAGUAAAUCUCACCUGCAGAGUCUCUCAGCAGUGUGAUAAAUACUGCUUGAAAAUGUAUAAGUUUAAAUACCCUAAUGACACAGCAAUCUGUAAACAAGAGCCUCCUGUGGACUCCUGUGAUGAGAGUAAGAGCUUCACAUGCAGCUACACUCCAACUACUCCAAUGACAGAAAAAUUCAGAUUCUUUGCCCAAGCAAACUGCGAUAUGGACACAAAAGAAUUCACUGUGAACAUAGCAGUUUUAUUAAAAGAAGAUGAUCCUAAAUAUAAGGAUACUGCCAUCACUGCAGCUGUGGGCUGUUUCAGCAUCAUUCUCAUCAUCAUCAUCAUCAUGACAGUCAUUUGGAAAAUCACCAAAUCUUGUGGAUUCCAGAAGAGGAAAUUUCUUUGCAUCAAAUAUGAUGAGAACAACACCACUCCUCGAGAAGAUGUGAUAUAACAGCAUUGAAUCAGCAGUACGAGUUCUCAUGUGGUGCUCAUGAAACACACAAACUCUAUUUAAACACCACUAUAAACUACAUACUCUACUAUCUGUUGUAUCUCAAACUACUUAAUAUAUAACUCUGGAUGUUGGUUUAAAACUCUGUUUCUGUUUUAUACAAGUUUCUGUGAAAUAACAGCAUAUUAUUGAUCUGUUUGAUCAGUUUGUAUAUUUGUAUAUGUGACUUUAAUGAACCCGUGCCUUUGUGAACUUUAAGAGGAAACUCAAACUGUUUUGCUGUUUUUUUCAGAAUUUCAAGGAAUGUCUAUAAUGAAUGUCAAUGUAUUAAUGUUAAUAUAACUCAAGUUGGGAAAUGAUUUCUUAAUAUUUUGCCAUACGAUUUUCUAAUAGUGUAAAUGGUGUGGUUUUGUACAGUGCCUUUUAAAUGAAUAAAGACUUGUGAUGCUCUCUGAAGAUGAAUAUC
ensembl:lncRNA